GGAGGCUGCCAGUUCUGUCUUACAGAUGUGCCAGCACCACCGCCCAGCCGGGAGGGUGGAGGGCUCUCUCUGCAGCUGUGGCUCUGACCAUGGGGGAACCACCUUAAGGCUGUGGGCAGGAAAACCCAGUGUGGAGAGAUGGAGUGGCUCUUCACGGCGACAUGAGCGGUACCUUGAACCUCGCAAGGUACGGGCUGGGACCCAUGGGCUUCCCGUGCCCGUUGCCAGGCGAGCUCUCCUGCCAGGCGGCGUCUCUCAGCUCCACCCCGGCAGCCGUGUCCCACAGGAAUCCCGCAAACCCAGGCCCCUGCGGGAGAAGACGAGGAACAGCUGGUUCUCAAAUUCUCUGCUUCGCCCACAUACCAGAAGGAAGACAUAUUACUCAAGUGGGCUGCGAUGACUGGGUUAACGUUGCAAAGGCUUUCGCCCAAACAGGAAGAGGAGCGUCCACUCUGCCAAAACACAGCAUCAGUUGUUUUCCUUAACGUGCCCUACGCCCCACUGGAAGAUCCUUUGCUAAACUGCCUAAAAUAAAACUUACUUACUAACAGGGACACUUCCAGAGGCUCUUCUCCAAAUGUCUCCAGAUGCUAAGACUCUUAAUCCUCGUCUGUAACACGGGGACAGAAAUCACUCCCGCCUCUCUCGUUCGGUAUGUCUGAAGCAGGCAGCACACGGCCCGGCGCCCAGCAAGUCUCCUGUGUUCCCGCAGUUGUCCCACUGACUGGGCCACACCCUCAGGACAGAGUCAGGGACAAAGGCUCCCCGCCUUCAACAAUUCCUCAAACAUGCCAGAUGAGGAAGUGGGCAGGAGCAGGGUUGCGGCCAAACACCACCAAGUUGCGUGCUGGAAGGGAGAGCCCCCUAAAAGUGCAGAGACGGACAGACAGACGGGACACCAUAGUGUAAUGGUCUCUGUGAAGAAGGGAAUGGGU